rnacentral:rRNA from 1 species
AACGAACGCUGGCGGCAGGCUUAACACAUGCAAGUCGAGCGCCCCGCAAGGGGAGCGGCAGACGGGUGAGUAACGCGUGGGAAUCUACCGUACCCUACGGAAUAGCUCCGGGAAACUGGAAUUAAUACCGUAUACGCCCUACGGGGGAAAGAUUUAUCGGGGUAUGAUGAGCCCGCGUUGGAUUAGCUAGUUGGUGGGGUAAAGGCCUACCAAGGCGACGAUCCAUAGCUGGUCUGAGAGGAUGAUCAGCCACAUUGGGACUGAGACACGGCCCAAACUCCUACGGGAGGCAGCAGUGGGGAAUGUUGGACAAUGGGCGCAAGCCUGAUCCAGCCAUGCCGCGUGAGUGAUGAAGGUCUUAGGAUUGUAAAGCUCUUUCACCGAUGAAGAUAAUGACGGUAGUCGGAGAAGAAGCCCCGGCUAACUUCGUGCCAGCCGCCGCGGUAAUAC